rnacentral:rRNA from 1 species
UCNGGCUUUACCAUGCNAGUCGAGGGGCAGCAUGGUCUUAGCUUGCUAAGGCCGAUGGCGACCGGCGCACGGGUGAGUAACACGUAUCCAACCUGCCGUCUACUCUUGGACAGCCUUCUGAAAGGAAGAUUAAUACAAGAUGGCAUCAUGAGUCCGCAUGUUCACAUGAUUAAAGGUAUUCCGGUAGACGAUGGGGAUGCGUUCCAUUAGAUAGUAGGCGGGGUAACGGCCCACCUAGUCUUCGAUGGAUAGGGGUUCUGAGAGGAAGGUCCCCCACAUUGGAACUGAGACACGGUCCAAACUCCUACGGGAGGCAGCAGUGAGGAAUAUUGGUCAAUGGGCGAGAGCCUGAACCAGCCAAGUAGCGUGAAGGAUGACUGCCCUAUGGGUUGUAAACUUCUUUUAUAAAGGAAUAAAGUCGGGUAUGNAUACCCGUUUGCAUGUNCUUUAUGAAUAAGGAUCGGCUAACUCCGUGCCAGCAGCCGCGGUAAUACGGAGGAUCCGAGCGUUAUCCGGAUUUAUUGGGUUUAAAGGGAGCGUAGAUGGAUGUUUAAGUCAGUUGUGAAAGUUUGCGGCUCAACCGUAAAAUUGCAGUUGAUACUGGAUAUCUUGAGUGCAGUUGAGGCAGGCGGAAUUCGUGGUGUAGCGGUGAAAUGCUUAGAUAUCACGAAGAACUCCGAUUGCGAAGGCAGCCUGCUAAGCUGCAACUGACAUUGAGGCUCGAAAGUGUGGGUAUCAAACAGGAUUAGAUACCCUGGUAGUCCACACGGUAAACGAUGAAUACUCGCUGUUUGCGAUAUACGGCAAGCGGCCAAGCGAAAGCGUUAAGUAUUCCACCUGGGGAGUACGCCGGCAACGGUGAAACUCAAAGGAAUUGACGGGGGCCCGCACAAGCGGAGGAACAUGUGGUUUAAUUCGAUGAUACGCGAGGAACCUUACCCGGGCUUAAAUUGCAGAUGAAUUACGGUGAAAGCCGUAAGCCGCAAGGCAUCUGUGAAGGUGCUGCAUGGUUGUCGUCAGCUCGUGCCGUGAGGUGUCGGCUUAAGUGCCAUAACGAGCGCAACCCUUGUUGUCAGUUACUAACAGGUUCCGCUGAGGACUCUGACAAGACUGCCAUCGUAAGAUGUGAGGAAGGUGGGGAUGACGUCAAAUCAGCACGGCCCUUACGUCCGGGGCUACACACGUGUUACAAUGGGGGGUACAGAGGGCCGCUACCACGCGAGUGGAUGCCAAUCCCAAAAACCUCUCUCAGUUCGGACUGGAGUCUGCAACCCGACUCCACGAAGCUGGAUUCGCUAGUAAUCGCGCAUCAGCCACGGCGCGGUGAAUACGUUCCCGGGCCUUGUACACACCGCCCGUCAAGCCAUGGGAGCCGGGGGUACCUGAAGUGCGUAACCGCGAGAGCGCCCNGGNAAUUG